AUGAGUUUAUAAAUUAUUUAAUUAAAAAAAUUAAAAAUAUAGCAAUAAAAUUAUUUGUGAGUAGUUAGUGCAGUACAAUAAUAGAUUUCUGUUUCUUCUGUGCCAACAGUAUCUUGAUGACUACACAAGAAAAGGAGGGAAUAAUUGCAUUCCUGUCCAAUAUGAAAUAGAGCCAAACCACUUCUGCUCCAUGAGUCACUGAUCUCAUCAAUAGAUUUAGGCUGCCCAGAGGGGCACAUCCUAUCACCAUCUCAGGAAACAUUAUUUGUGAAUUAAUUGUUAGAUAUCAUUACCAGGCUUCCAAAUAUGUCACUGAAUGCUAGCUAUGGUCCAAUAGCUCUAGCAAAAGAAGGACACCAUCAUACUGGGAGAAAUGUUCUGAAACCCUCCUAGUUGCAGCUAUCAAGAAGAGAAAUAUUAAGGUGAAAAAAGGGCUGAACUCUCCUCAGAUUCCUGACAUUACAGGAUCUACAUCCUGAUUUCCUGCUUUAUGCUACUUCUAAUAAGCUGCACAAUGGAAAAGAACCGAGAAAUUAAUUGCCAAAAGCUUGUAUGUGUUGAUAUUGCACAGGAAAAUCUGCUUUUCAUCUUUUUAACCAGCUCACUUCACAGUCUCUAAUGAGAACAAAAAUGAACACAAAAAUCCAGCUGGUUAAAGCAGUGAAGUGGCACCUAAUGUAUACAGUCUUGGGAUUUGAAUGGCUACCAGAAUAACAGAAGAUGAAGCAUUCCUGCAAGUCAUGAAAGAAGGAAAGCUGAAUAGAAAACUGAAAGAGAAUUGACACAAGGAUAAAGGACAGUUAUUAAAUUUGUGAACUCUAUCAGAGGACAAGAAAAUAAACUGUAUGACUGACUAGAAGUGUAUUGGAGUAUGACAUUUCAUUUUUAUGCAGGUCUCUGUGUGAUAAAGGUAACACAUUGAAGAACACCGCAACUCCACAAAAGCAGUUAGCACAUUCAUUGAAUAUCAAGACGGCUAAAGUGCUUUGCUUUUGUCACUAUCUAUCUCAUGUUUUUAUAUGGGGCAAUAUAGUUCAGGGGCUCAUAACUGAGCAUCAGACUCUGCUUCUAUAGCAAGUUUAUUAUAGCUUUCCUUUUUAUUCCA